UACGUAGGCAGCGAGCGUUGUUCGGAGUUACUGGGCGUAAAGCGUGCGUAGGCGGUGUCUUAAGUUUGUUGUGAAAUCUCCCGGCUUAACCGGGAGGGUGCGGCGAAUACUGAGAUGCUGGAGUGCCGGAGAGGUAAGCGGAAUUCCUGGUGUAGCGGUGAAAUGCGUAGAUAUCAGGAGGAACACUGCGGUGUAGACGGCUUACUGGACGGUAACUGACGCUGAGGCACGAAAGCGUGGGUAGCAAACAGG
rnacentral:rRNA from 1 species